rnacentral:rRNA from 1 species
AUUGAACGCUGGCGGCAUGCCUUACACAUGCAAGUCGAACGGUAACAGGUCUUCGGAUGCUGACGAGUGGCGAACGGGUGAGUAAUACAUCGGAACGUGCCCGAUCGUGGGGGAUAACGAAGCGAAAGCUUUGCUAAUACAGCAUAAGAACUAAGGAUGAAAGCAGGGGACCGCAAGGCCUUGCGCGAACGGAGCGGCCGAUGGCAGAUUAGGUAGUUGGUGGGAUAAAAGCUUACCAGGCCGACGAUCUGUAGCUGGUCUGAGAGGACGACCAGCCACACUGGGACUGAGACACGGCCCAGACUCCUACGGGAGGCAGCAGUGGGGAAUUUUGGACAAUGGGCGAAAGCCUGAUCCAGCCAUGCCGCGUGCAGGAUGAAGGCCUUCGGGUUGUAAACUGCUUUUGUACGGAACGAAAAGACUCUUUCUAAUAAAGAGGGUCCAUGACGGUACCGUAAGAAUAAGCACCGGCUAACUACGUGCCAGCCGCCGCCGUAA